rnacentral:lncRNA from 1 species
CCGACUCUUUGCCAACUCUGCUUCGUUUUACAUAUCUGUUUUUCUCCUUUCCUCUCCCUUACCCCUCCCUUUCUCUCAGUUUGGAGGAAUUCUAAGAUCCCCAACAAGCUCAGCUGGGUAACCAGCUGGGUGCAGAAGAACCAGCACAGGCAAUGGGCGGCACAAGCAAAGCCAGCCUGGACACGGGUACCAGCUGAUCUGCAAGCUCUGAAGGGGCUCCUUUAUUUUAUCUUCUCAUUUUUGCUGUUCGGAAAAAUCUCUGCUGGGCUCCUUUCUGGAGGCUGUCUGGGGACCAGUGCUCCACAUGGCACUCUCACUGCGUGAC